rnacentral:ncRNA from 1 species
CAUGCGGGACGGCCCGCUGGGUGUUGCAAUCGUGCGGGACGACCCGC